rnacentral:rRNA from 1 species
GAUGAACGCUGGCGGCAUGCCUAACACAUGCAAGUCGAACGAGGUGUACUUGUACACCUAGUGGCGGACGGGUGCGUAACACGUGAGCAACCUGCCCUUUACAACGGGAUAACACAGAGAAAUUUGUGCUAAUACGGUAUGAGACCACAGUACGGCAUCGUACAGGGGUUAAAGUUCAGGCGGUAAAGGAGGGGCUCGCGGCCCAUUAGCUAGUUGGUGAGGUAACGGCUCACCAAGGCGACGAUGGGUAGCCGACCUGAGAGGGUGGUCGGCCACACUGGAACUGAGAUACGGUCCAG